UAAAUUCUUUGGAUAAUAAGGUUUGUGUCUGGGAUGCAUGUAGAGGCUUGGAGUUAAAGGUGAACAAUCUGAUAUCAUCCUUAACGGGAAUAUUGGAGCAGCAAAAUUCUGCAGUCAGAGAGACAUGAUACCAGGUCAAGAAGGUGAUGAGAAUUUUUGCAGAAAUCAGCCAAAUGUAGGCUGUCUUGGAAUUUUCUUAUGGAGAAAAUCACAGGAACAGAGCUCCUUUAAUAAAGUCAAUUGAACAUCUGCUUGAAAUUCUAGAUAAAAAACAAGUUCAGCUACAAACAAUACUGAAAAGUAAAUACGUGGUGUAUUUCAUUGAACAAAUGAAAGGUUGACAAAAUAAAUUAAAUGUGGCAGAUUCUGUCAUUUCCAUUUGGAUGGAAGUUCAAUGCACGUGGGCUCAUCUAGAAAGUAUUUUCAUUUUCUCUGAUGAUAUCAGAAGCCAUUUGCCUGAAGAUGUACACAGACUUGAUGAAAUCAAUACGGGCUUCAGAGUAAGUAGAACUUCCUCUUUGGGAAAAAUCCCUGGGUGGAUAUUUAGAAACCAAGCACAUAAUGUUUCCUCACUUAUAUUUUGUUUCUUCAACAGACUUGCUAGCUAUUCUUCCAAUAGGAACACAGCCAGAACAGACCAUGAAUACUGAAUCAGUAAAAUAUUGCAAAUUUCAUCUGAAGUCUUCUGUAAAUUCACUGAGGGAGUAGAGAAUAACAUCACCCGUGUAAUAUACUAUGUCAACAUAACUUCCUCUUCAAGAUGUAGUAAUAAAUUGUUGUCUCCUGGCCUUUUCAAGACCACCUCAUCCCUGCCUCAGUCCUGUUUUACUGGUGGGGUUUAUGGACUUGUGCUCUACACUCGCUUUCAUCUUCAGUUCUGGCAGUUGCCUUGGCUGUACUGAACCCUGUGCCAUGGUUGAUCCUGACAUUGAACUGAUCUGUGAAAUUUUGUUGGUUGUUGAAAGGUUUAUUGAUAUGUGCUUAUUUGACAGCAAGUUUAGCACCUUGUAUACUCUCUGCAGGGAACUGUUCUCUAAACAGAGUGCACCUUGACAUCUUAAACUUCAGACAAGUAAAUGCCCAGCCUGCGAGAACAGGAAGGAGACAUGUUGCAUCUGUGCUGGAAGAACAGUGUGUGACCUCCUCCUGAAAUCCAUCCGUCCAGAGGAGUCAGCACCUUGUCUUUGUAAAUGAUGUCUAUGAGUGUGAGAUUGUCACUGGAGGAACCAAGGUGGAAAUGGAUCCAAAAGUUCAUGACAUCCUAUUCUCAAAGUAUCGUACUGGAGGUUUUACUUCUGGUGCAAAUUUUGCCAUGUAAAAAUAGAUGGGAUAUUAAAAAUUAGAUAUACACAUUUAACUUUUUUAUGCUUCUGACACUGACCUAAAAACACUGCAAGGCUACAGCGUAAACAGGGAACAAAAAGGUGCCACUUUAAAUAUACUGUUUUCUUAUACAUUACCACCUGGUUUAUUUUCCUGUGCUAACACAAUCCAUUAAAAUAUUUUCCAAGAACCACUGUGACUGGGGACUUCAUGCUAUCAAGUCAGUUCUGGUAGCUGCUGGCUUACUGAAAUGUAGAAAGAACAGACCUGAGGACCAGGUACAACCUUCAUUUACAAGCAGGAGUAAGAGUUGAUCCUGGUGUUCUGUCUGAAUAAAAACAGAAUCCUAAAAAGAGAAGGGUUUAAUGCUCUUGUGAUCUGUGGCUUACCAUCCUUUUCCAGGUGCUUAUGUGAGCCUUAAGAGACUUAAAUUUGCUUAAAAUAGUGACAGAUGAUAUCCCAAUUUUCAUGGGCCUGAUCAGUGACCUGUUUCCAGCUCUGGAUGUUCCAAGGAUAAAGAACCUGUAAUUUGAACAGAUGGUUAAACAAUUUACCCCCGAGCUUCACUUGUAGCCUGAAGAGAGCUUUAUUUUCAAAGCAAAAGAAUUCAUUGCCUUUAAUUAUUCCCCUUAAGAGUUUCAAUCAAAAUAAUUGCAAAUGGGUUGUAUUAGACAUGAAGGUUAUUUUUGAGUAUGUUACACUAUUGAUAAGGCAUCCUCAAAGUCUCAGUAUUUCAAAGGCAUUUUGUAAUGGCAGUACAGGAACUCAGUAUGAUAAAUAUAGAAUUAAGGAAAUAAGGAUAAAUAAGGAAAAAAUAUCUGUUCAAAAAGGCUGUCUCCACUGACAAACAUGAUUUUUUACAGCACCAAGUUCUUGUACACAGUAGCUUAGCAAAUGUUGGUGAUUAUUUAUAGGGGUGAAGGAAGCAAAAAAAAAAAUAAAAUAAAAAGGUAUAGAUUUGGAAUGUGUGAUUACCUAUGUUGUUUUUUUUUCUUCAUGUAUGUUCUGCUAUUUCUGUAUAAUACAACGCAGAGAUAAGUACUGAGAAGGUCUAAGUUCCUAUUUCUUUUUAAAGGGAAUAGAAAAGAGGGGAGAAGGGGAGAGAGAACUUCUGUGCAUACUUCCCUCUCUUUGUUAAGAGGACAACAGGAGAGCAAAGGGUCUCACCAUGUAUUCCUCCUGUGUGGCAGACUGUUAAGCUGGAAGAGCUACUAGCAGUAUGUUGCUCCAUGUUUGCUGUUGGAAAUGCAAGGACUGGAAAAAGCAAGGCAAACCAGUCUGGCUUGUUGGAAAUCCUGGAAUAGGACAAACUCUUUGUAGGUGAUAGUCUUUGGAGAGAACAGCAAGGCUAACAUUCCUUUCAACUGCUAUACACAGUCAGCAAUGUUACAAAAUUAACAAAGAAAUGGACUCUAUCUGCAGCUUUUCCUUCUCUCCACUGUUCUUCAGCCAAGUCACUCUUGUUAAGUGCUCUUCUGUGCAAGUCUGUGCAAGUUCCUAGCUGUGGGUGAAGAACUGCAUAACAGUGUAUACCAAAUAUAUUGUGUUUGCUUUCCAUUGUGUUUACAACAUCUUUCUGGUGAACUGUAACAAUAUAAUUUUGUUCUGUCAUGUAUCACUCAGAAUGACUGCCUCUUAUGUUAUUCUAGUGUUUGUGGAUACCAGUGCUUCUUCCCAUACAAUGAAUUCAAGUGAUAUAUUUUGGUGCCUGCCUUUCAUAUUUUUGGCUACCUCUCCAAGAAAUUGUUUGGAACAAUCAGGUGGUUGUUGUUUAAAUGGGAAGAGGCAUCCACAUCAAAUUACACAAAUGAGCAAUUAAGUCUCAGCUCAAAAAGAAGAGCUUAAAAGCUGAACUUGUUGAAGUACAGCUAUUCCUCACAUUGUCAUGUUCCUUCCAGAGUUUAGAGGUUAAAAGAUUUUUCUUACAUAUCAUAUCACUUUUAAUUUGUGGUAUUUUCUGCCAGCUCCCAUCUUAUCUCUAUCUGCUUAACUUCUUUUGAGCUAUCUGCUAGAGUGGGUGAGAUUAGCAUGAAGUGCUGGGUUUUAUUUAGCAUUCCCCAAGGCAUAUGACUCAUCCACUCUCCCUCUAGAAAAUCAGAAAUUUUCAAAAUGUUAUUUGAUGGCAGUUUCUGAUGCAAGAUAAUAUUGGCACAUUAAGUUUGGGAUCAUCAGUAGUACUAAAGUCUGGAACAGUACCACAGGGAAAUUUGCAUAAACAUUUAAGUACAAUGGGGUUUAGUGAAAUAUAUUUCCUUAUUGUACCGUAAUAAUACAGUAUUUGAAAAAACAUAAUGGGAUCAAUAGGUGACAAUUGUGGACACUUAAAAAUUUGAGUAAGUUUAAGGAUUAAGAAGUGUUCCUAAUUAUGGGUUUAAAAGUACAGGUAUAUACGUACCUCUUCUAAAUGAAGAAAAUAGUCUUCUUUUUCCUAAGAUAUUAAGGCAAUUAAGAUACUUUAGACCUUUCAUAUACAGAUAGUUUCUGCAUGUUUUCCCCUUUUGUGGUAGAAAAUUAGGAUAAGUACAGACAGACAGAUCUUUUUUUUUCCCAAAUUUUAUCAUCCAGCUGCAAAUACACUAAGGUUCUUCAUUUUUGUCUUGUCUGCCAGUGCACCUUCACUCUUCAUGUGCUUGCUUUUGUUCUCCGUAGUCAGUAACUAUACUUUUAGCCAACUGUGGCUAGACAUAAAUGUAUUUGAGAGCAUUUGCUACCUUUCUUGAAGUGGCAUGCCAAACUCACUGUUGAAACAUGCAAAGGAUUUAUUUCACUGCUUAAAGAAUCUGAGACGACAACACAAUGUCCCUUUUAUUCUAAUGGAAGAUGUUUGCAGUGAUAUGUUUCUUCAUACUGCUUUGCCAUGAAAUGAAAAAGUCUGUGACAAGUCAGAACUACGGUUGUUCUGACAUAGAGCAUUUAUGUGUCACUACACAACUGCUGCUUUCAUUUCCUACAAGAUCUCUUGAUUGUGUUGCCCUGUUGUUAAGAUAAUAAUCAAGAUAAGCUUAAAAGUAUAUGUUUAAUUUUCACUUUUCCUAUCUAGCCAAAAAGAUUUUAACAUAUAACCUACUAUAACGUGUUUAAAAAAUAAAAAAAUAAAAUAAAAUAAAAUAAAAAAA